GACGAACGCUGGCGGCGUGCCUAAUACAUGCAAGUAGAACGCUGAAGAGAGGAGCUUGCUCUUCUUGGAUGAGUUGCGAACGGGUGAGUAACGCGUAGGUAACCUGCCUGGUAGCGGGGGAUAACUAUUGGAAACGAUAGCUAAUACCGCAUAAAAUUGAUUAUUGCAUGAUAAUUAAUUGAAAGAUGCAACUGCAUCACUACCAGAUGGACCUGCGUUGUAUUAGCUAGUUGGUGAGGUAACGGCUCACCAAGGCGACGAUACAUAGCCGACCUGAGAGGGUGAUCGGCCACACUGGGACUGGGACACGGCCCAGACUCCUACGGGAGGCAGCAGUAGGGGAUCUUCGGCAAUGGGGGGAACCCUGACCGAGCAACGCCGCGGGAGUGAAGAAGGUUUUCGGAUCGUAAAGCUCUGUUGUAAGAGAAGAACGGGUGUGAGAGUGGAAAGUGCACACUGUGACGGUAUCUUACCAGAAAGGGACGGCUAACUACGUG
rnacentral:rRNA from 1 species